GACGAACGCUGGCGGCGUGCUUAACACAUGCAAGUCGAACGGAAAGGCCUUUUCGGCGGUACUCGAGUGGCGAACGGGUGAGUAACACGUGGGUGAUCUGCCCUGCACUCUGGGAUAAGCCUGGGAAACUGGGUCUAAUACCGGAUAGGACCGCACUUUAGUGUGUGUGGUGGAAAGUUUUUUCGGUGUAGGAUGAGCCCGCGGCCUAUCAGCUUGUUGGUGGGGUAAUGGCCUACCAAGGCGGCGACGGGUAGCCGGACUGAGAGGUUGGUCGGCCACAUUGGGACUGAGAGACGGCCCAGACUCCGACGGGAGGCAGCAGUGGGGAAUAUUGCACAAUGGGCGCAAGCCUGAUGCAGCGACGCCGCGGGGGGGAUGACGGCCUUCGGGUUGUAAACUCCUUUCGCCAGGGACGAAGCGUUUUGUGACGGUACCUGGAGAAGAAGCACCGGCUAACUACGUG
rnacentral:rRNA from 1 species